GGAGAAGUGGCAGAGAGGCUGAAUGCGCCGCACUCGAAAUGCGGUAUGGGUUUACGCUCAUCGGGGGUUCAAAUCCCUCCUUCUCCGCCA
rnacentral:tRNA from 1 species